UACGUAGGGUGCGAGCGUUAAUCGGAAUUACUGGGCGUAAAGCGUGCGCAGGCGGUUUUUUAAGCCAGAUGUGAAAGCCCCGGGCUUAACCUGGGAAUGGCAUUUGGGACUGCAAGGCUUGAGUGCGGCAGAGGAGACUGGAAUUCCCGGUGUAGCAGUGAAAUGCGUAGAUAUCGGGAGGAAUACCGAUGGCGAAGGCGGGUCUCUGGGCCGAUACUGACGCUGAGGAGCGAAAGCGUGGGGAGCGAACAGG
rnacentral:rRNA from 1 species